CCAGCAGAUCAAUGUUCCCCAAAAGCACGUAUCUGGAAGUCAUAAUGAAGUAGAUGUUCCCAAUCAAAUUGCAGGCAACCCGAAACUCAAACGGCCCCAUAACCGGAUCAGCAUUUCCAAAGCUAACCCACUAACUGUUGACUGGGACCAGGAUCUACGUGUGGAGGACAAUCUGCUUGGUCUACCAGCAAGUUCUUCUAAGAAGCUGAAAGGAACACCCCCUCAGUCCCAGGGCCCUACCAAAACCUCCAAAUUAAAGAGCGCCUCAUGUUCAACAAAAAAGAAGAAUAAGAAACUGGCACAAACCCUCCCCUUGACACUACAUGAAGCUCGAACGUCAGCUAAAAGUAAGACGAAGAAAACUAGCUGUCAAGUUACGAAAACCUUGACAUCCGCUCGUCAGCGGCGAGCUGCGGCUGAGAAAGCAAAUCGGAAGCUCGCAUUAGCCAACGAAUAUGAAAAUGCAACAUAUGACCUUGAUGAUCCGAUCGAAUCAAGUCCACCAGAAGACUCGAUAUUGGUUGCCAACCGGG
rnacentral:sRNA from 1 species